rnacentral:ncRNA from 1 species
UGGUGAAUUUUAUUAUGGUUUGAGAAUAGUUAAGUUGAUGUUAUUUAGUUUUAAUUCGUAGAGUGGACAAUGAUUUUUGAUCCUGUUUUGUGUUUAUUUGUAGUGCUUAUGUACCAGAAUAAUCGGAUAGACUUAAGAAAUUUAUACUUUAAGUGUGUUGAAUAAAAAUUUGUUUAUGAUUUGUUUUUUUUUUUUUGUGAAAUGGGAAGGUUUUUUGUUUGAGUGAUUAUUAUUUAAAAGAAUUUGUGAUGAACUGGAGUAGUACCCGGGUAAUUUUUGGUUAUUAGGGCAGGAGUAUAAUGGUUUUGAAACUGAAAUAAUUUUUGGGAGAUUCUAAAUUUAUUUUUGAAGGUUGACGAGUAAUUGAGAACCCUCAUUAUCAUCUGUGGCUGUGGUGGUAUGUAUGAUCGUCUAUUUUGUUGUUGAGCAUUAAAAGUAAAGUUUUUAGUUGUAAAGAUAGAUAAAUAUCUACUAGAUGUCAUAGUUUUUAGUUGACCUGCAAUAUUAUGAAAUUCGGAUUUUUUUGGGAGAUCAUUAAAUGAAGUUGGAAAAGACAGUAAAUUAGUUUUUAUGUCUAAUUGAAGAAGGAUUUUGGGAUGGCACAAAUCAUCCAUCAAUUGCUUAAAGAGUAGUAAGUUGUAGUAGAGUUAGGGUAGAGGAAUCUGUCCUAAGU